rnacentral:piRNA from 1 species
UGCAAGUGUUCGGGUUGCUGACUGCAGAG